rnacentral:rRNA from 1 species
AGAGGAAAAUUGGUCAAUGGACGAGAGUCUGAACCAGCCAAGUUGCGUGCAGGAUGACGGCCCUAUGGGUUGUAAACUGCUUUUGUUUGGGGAUAAUCGACAUUACGUGUAAUGUUUUGCAUGUACCAUUCGAAUAAGGACCGGCUAAUUCCGUUCCAGCAGCCGCGGUAAUACGGAAGGUCCAGGCGUUAUCUGGAUUUAUUGGGUUUUAAGGGAGUGUAGUCGGUUGGUUAAGCGUGUUGUGAAAUGUAGAUGCUCAACAUCUGACUUGAAGCGCGAACUGGCUGACUUGAGUACACACAACGUAGGCGGUAUUCAUGGUGGAGAGAUGAAAUGCUUAGAUAUCAUGAAGAACUCCGAUUGCGAAGGCAGCUUGCGGAAGCGAAACUGACGCUAAAGCUCGAAGGUGCGGGUAUCGAACAGG